rnacentral:rRNA from 1 species
CAGUAGCCACGGUAAUACGAAGGGUGCAAGCGUUAAUCGGAAUUACUGGGCGUAAAGCGUGCGUAGGCGGUUUGUUAAGUCUGCUGUGAAAUCCCCGGGCUCAACCUGGGAAUGGCAGUGGAUACUGGCAAGCUAGAGUGUGUCAGAGGAUGGUGGAAUUCCCGGUGUAGCGGUGAAAUGCGUAGAGAUCGGGAGGAACAUCAGUGGCGAAGGCGGCCAUCUGGGACAACACUGACGCUGAGGCACGAAAGCGUGGGGAGCAAAUAGGAUUAGAUACCCCCGUAGUCCCUGUCUCUUAUAC